rnacentral:lncRNA from 1 species
CCAUUGCCUAGGGAAAACCUUUAUCCGUCUCAUCCCCUUAUACAUCACUAAUGAUCGACGGUAACCCUAAACCCUAAAAACUUUCCAAAUUCCCAUCCCUGUAUCUAGAAGCUUCAUUUCAUCAAGACCAAAUCUACAAAGCUUUUGUUUCACCCAAGGACCCAAAAUUUGAACUCUUCUAUAGGCCUCAACUAGUUUCGCGAAUCCAAUCGUCUGCUAAAAUCUUCACAGCAUACCUCAGGACAGAGCUCCUCAGGUAAAACUCCUCACCUUUUCUCAAACCUUCAGAAGCUAUAGCGUCGGCAAGCUUGUUCACCGAUCUUCUAACAUACAUGAAACAUGUUUUUCAAAAAUUCCUUAAAAUGCUCUUAAUUUUUUGAAUAUUGGGAGAGAUUUAUGACUUAUCACUAUUCAGUAGAGAUUGAUUUGCAUUUUUUUAAUAGUCAAAAGUGAAUCUCCUUCUAAAAUUAUUUCUGUUAUGCCCAAAUCGAUCCCCAUUUCAGCUGCCCCAAAAGAAGGCGAGGGCCUCCGCUGCAAAAGCCGAGCCAACAUUCUCGUGUAUAGUUGAUCUAGAGGCAACCAACCUUCCUCUUCCAUUUCUGGCAACAAACCCUGACCCUGAUAAAAUAGAGCCCUGUCAAAUGCCGCGUCAAAGUUGAUCUUAACCCACUCCCUAGAAGGAGGCUCCCAUCUUGUAACGUCGACCACCUUAGUAUGCACAUUUUCCUCGAUGCCAUCUAACUCACAGAUGUAUCUAUGAAUAAAGUUAGAGAUCUCUCUGCAUGAUUGAAUCAUAUGUUCAUGAACUCUUUUAUUUCUUGCAGUCCACAGAGCCCAAAGGGUACAAUAAAAUAUCCGGAAUUGUGAUGUUGAACAAAUGUUAAAAACCCAGGUAAGCCACUCAAUCCACCCCUGAUUAUCAUUAGAGAGAACCACUGAUAACCCCACUAAUCCCCAAACUUCACUGGCAACAGGGCAGCUAUGAAAGACAUACGCUAAGGUUUCAACUCCAUCCCUACAUCUUGGGCAUAUUGCAGCCCUGAGUCAUUUAAAAUACAAGUUUGACAUAGAUGGGAUAAAAUUGUUUGAAAUACGCCAAACUGUACUUCUAAGUUUAGAAGGUAGAUUAAGGCUCCAUAGUCUUUGAUAGAAAAUUCUAGUCAUGGUUUGUAAUUCCUCUAAAUUAGGAUCAUAUAUCUCAGCUUGUAAUAGUUUGUACAAACUUCUAACAGUGAACUCACUAGAGGGUUCACCUCUCCACACUAGCUCGUCAUAAUGCUUGAUUUUUGCGAGUGAAACUUGAAGAAUCCUGGCGGCGUCAACAACGUCAAAAACAUCGGUAAUAAUAUCACUUCUCCAUUCUCUAUUAACACUAUUGAUGAGCUCAACAACUAAUUCCAUAUUACAAUUUCGAACUGGAUUAGAAAUAUUAUAAUGAACAAAACUUGGGAUCCAUGCAUGAUUAAAGAUAUAGAUAUUAUUACCUGUACCUACCCUCUAGCACAAACCAUCUUGUAAUGUCUUCUUCGCUACCCAGAAACUUUUCCACGCAUAGGACACUCCUGCUGUAAUAGCCUGGUUUAAACCCUAGUCAGAAUAGUGGUUUUGGGACCACAAAUCUGAGUAAGAAAAAUAUAUUAAUAGUAUUUUUGGUGUCUACAGCAUGUGAAUUAAUAUGUGUGAAAGUUUCGUGUGAAAAUUUUAUCGUUUGUGUGCUCAAUUUGUUAAAAGGACUUAAUCUCGUAAAAUGCAAAAGUGACUUGCUAAUUGUUAAAGUGCUAUAUUGCUAUGGCUUUUAUUAUAUGGACCCUUAUUUUAAUGGCCAAAAUUUAAGGUUUAUCGAGUGAUUAGAUAUAAGUAUUAGAGUAUUGAUAAGAAAUUUUAUUGAUUGCAUGCCUAAAUUGCCUAUUAGGACUUAAUUGCAGAAGUGGGUAAAUAUGAAUUUUAGAUGAUAAAGGAUUUAUUUGAAGUGCAUAAUCAAAGUAGAGGUCCUUAAAUAGUAAUUAGACCAUAAAAUUUCCAUGGACAAAAAUAGGCAUGCAUAGAUAAAAAUAACUAAAGUUUUAAUGAAGGGUAUUUUAGUAAAUAAAAAAUAAAAAUAAUAAAAAGGGAAAAAGAUGGCAAAAAUAUCAUCUUCUCCAUAGUUUGCUGCCGAAUUUGGAAAGACACCAUAGCUAGGGUUUUCACACUUUUUCAAGCUCAUAGUAAGUGAUUAUAAGCCUCGUUUUUAAUGCUUUUUACGUUUUUGAGAUCUCGGUAGCUUAAUUUAGCUUAUUCUAGCAAUAAUUUAAUUUAGGGUUUAUAUUUGGAAAAAUACCCAUAGCUGAAAAGUGUUUAUUUUGAUGUUUUAUGAUAGAAUAUGAAGCUAGAAAUUAUGUUAAACAACUUUUGCUAGCCGAUUUUAAGCGAAAACGAGUAAGUUGACAUAAUUAGUAAAAAUCCCUAAUGUACAUAAGUAACUAUUAGAGUGAGAAUUUGAUGUUUUCAUAGAAGAGAAAAAUGUUCAGCAUGUUAUAUAACAUAAGAAUAUGAGAUGAAGUUUAAUUUUCAAACUUUGGGGGAAAAGCAUAAUUAUGUAAAAGUUUAGGGGUAAAAUUGUAAUUUUGCUAAAGUUAGAGUCGAGAGCUGUUCUAAUGAAUGUGAGUAUUAAAUAAGUUAAAUUUUCUAUUAUAGAUCAAGAAGAAUGAAAUUCGAGGUUAGAUCGAGGAAAGAAUAAAGUUGAAGACUAAAUUGAUAAGUUUGGCUAUAUUUGCUACCAAGGUAAGUUUACGGUAAAUAAAUACAAUAUUUCAAUAAUUAUUAUUAAUGCUGCUAUUUUCCAGAAAUUAUGUAUUUAUUUUAUGAAAUUAUUUAAUGUUGACUUAAGUAUGAGAUGACGGAGAAUCAGUGAUAAAAGUCCCGUUGAAACAUUAGGAAUGUAUCGGAUACAAAUGUCAUGACAUUUGGGUAAAGAGAUCCCAUGUAAGACCAUGUCUGGGACAUGCCAUUGGCAUCCUUGAGAUCAUGAGAGGUCCCAUGUAAGACCAUGUCUGGGACAUGGCGUUGGCACCGAGAUGAGAGGUCUCCCGUAAGACCAUGUCUGGAACAUAGCAUGGGCACCGAUAUGAGAACUCCCAUGUAAGACCAUAUCUGGGAUAUGGCAUUGGCAGUACAUGAAACAUCCCAUGUAAGACCAUAUCUGGGACAUGGCUUUGGCAUGUUAUUAUCAGAAAGAGACCCAAGUAUCCUUAUUAUUCCAAUGUGGUUCAACGGGCUAGUAAAUAACUUAUAUCCAUGGAAGUUUAGUUAAAAGCAUAAAUGGCAAGUUCAAGUGAGUUAUAAGAGUUAAGAGUAUAUUACGUUACCCAUUGAGAAUCAACAUUUCAGCAAGAGAAAAGUAAGUCCAAAUUAUGAGUUGUCUAAGUAAACAAGUAAGUGAAUGAGUAAGAGAUCAAGUAAAGAGGAAAUUAAAGAUUAUGUUACUUGGUUAUUAUUAUUUGUGUUUAAUAUCGCUAUUUAUUUACUUGUAAACUUACUAAGCAUUAUUCUUACUUUAUUUAUUUUCUUUUUAUAUAGCAUUAUUAAUCAAAUUCGAGGAUCCUUAAGACGUCGGAGAUCGUCCACACUAUCAACCACAACAACUCGAUAUUUUAUGAUGAACUAUGUUUGAACUAUGGCAUGUAUAGGGACUUACUUAUUUUGAAUGUUGUAUUAUGAUUUUGAUAAAGAAUUAUGUGUAAAUAUCUAAUGAUGAAUGGCUGUCAAAAUGGCUAAGUAUGAAGGUGUUUGUUGUUAUACAUGUCUAUGUGAUAAAUUAUGCAUAGAAACCAUGAAAGAGUAAUAAUUUGCAAAGGAAUAGAUUUCAAAAAGUAGCAGUGACGUGAUUUUGAAAAAUCACUUAGGAUAGUAUAAAAUGAAUUAGAGGGUGUAUAAUAUAUAUAAUGAAAUCUUGUUGAGUCUAUUUUCAUGAAAAAAUAACGGUUUAGUAAAAGAAAUUUUAUAUUUUGAGAUAUGUGAAUUUUGGUGAGAUAGGGUCAGAACUAUUUUUGGAGUCCCCUGUUCUGAGUUUAAAAAAUCACUAAAACUUGUAAAAAAAUAUUUAUGAGUUUUUAUUUAUAUUUGUAGAUUCCUUAUUUAGUCUAUUUUCUUUAGAAACAAGUAAGAACACCAUAUGAAAAUCCUACUAUGAGAAAACUUAUUUUUAGUGGCAAGAGGUCAGGACAGUCGAGUGGUGAAACAGGGGAGAUUUUAACUAAUAAACUGUAUUAAUUGGCUGAACCAAAAAUUCUGAAAAAUUUAUGGUAAGAAGAUAUAUGAGUCUAGUUUCAGGGAAUAUUUAUGGAUUUAAAUUUUGAGUUCCAUAGCUCGAGUUAUAAAUGAUUUAGUGACUGCUGCGCGAGUGGACAACUUUAUCAUAAAUAGUGAGAUAAAUUUUAAAAGCAAAUUUUUAUGCCCCGACUUAAUAAGUUAAGUAAAGUAAUGCCUCGAGAUCGACUCCGGAAACGGUCUUGGGUAAGGGGUGUUACACUUAUGUUGUAAUUUAGUCAUUAGAAUUAUGUAUGGACAAAUUUGGACAACCAUUAUAAAGUUUAUAAUUAAAUACUUAAGGUUAAAAUAGUAAAAAGUAAAGUAAUAUGUAAUAAAAUAAAAUAAAACAUGUUAUUGGAUGAUUCAUUCAUCUUUAUUGCUGAAACUUGAAAGAAAAAGAAAGAAAAUAAGCAAGCUAGGGUUCGGCCAUUGCUAUAUUUGAUUAAGG